rnacentral:rRNA from 2 species
AAAGAUGAUCAGGUUGAUAGGUCUGAGGUGGAAGUGUGGCGACACAUGGAGCUGACAGAUACUAAUCGAUCGAGGACUUAACCUAA